CAGAGGGGUCCAGGUUACCCGGAGCAUCGUGGACUCGGCAGUUAAACUACGGGCUUGGAAAAGGAACGAAGGCACACCUUUUCUGGAUGCCUUCCAGUAUCAUCCUAUGUCUCUUCUGCAUCAUAUGGUAUCAAGAAACAUGUGAGAUAGUCCUAAGAAUUCAACCCAGGACCUCACCAUGCUAGCAGACAUCUGACUCCCUGGCAUGAUCAUCACACUCACGGUCAGAACGGCAGCACACACUCUGGCACUGAUGCCGGGAACUGUGAGUCACUGCUCCGGGUUCUUCCUGGUGUGGAAGUGAGUCUCCGAAGAGGGAGAAAGAGCAGUCUGUCAGAUACUUCAUGCACUAUAUCCCAUGGAAUUAUUUAAGAUGAGUAAAACUCUUUUGAGAAAUUAUUUUCUUUGUUCAAAGACUCAUACGUGGAUCCUUCCUGAAAAAUAUGUGAUUAGUCUUUUUAUCUAAAAGACCAUGGAAUUCUUCAUUUUCUCAGUUUUUUUUUUUCCUACCUCCUCUUUCUUCAUCCGUUAUUUUCAACGAUAAAAAUGUAAACUUUGUUACAAGGUCAUUUGGAACUGGGAGCUUUUAGAAAAACAUUGAAUGAAAUAAAACAUAGUCAGUGACUAUAUGACUUUA
ensembl:lncRNA